CCACAAACGACGAUGUAAUUUUUUUAAUUGUUUUGUUAAUAUAUCAGGAAAGUUUCUAUAUUCAGCCUAAACAUUUGUAUAUUGGGCAUAGCUGAUAUAGUAUUUGCAAGCAUAUUCUUUAUAUUGAUAAUUAGAGCAAUCAAUAAUCGCAACAACUAACGGGGAAUCUGCUCGUAGCCGUGAAGAUAUAGCUGUUUACCCAAAACAUCGCUAGAACCUCAGGACAAAGUCGUGAAAGAUUCUCAACAAUUAAAAUAAGUAGACAGCAAGAAAGUUGAUACAUAAGGCAUUGCAAUCAAACAGCCACUACUACGGAAUGUGGAUUAAAGUUACUCACAAUAUAAUCAUCCCUACUACACUUACUGCCAGAAAAAGAGCAUCUAACAAUAAUGCUGGUGCAGCGCAAACCGAAUAAUAACUAUGUAUUCAG